rnacentral:rRNA from 1 species
UGGGGAAUUUUGGACAAUGGGCGAAAGCCUGAUCCAGCAAUGCCGCGUGUGUGAAGAAGGCCUUCGGGUUGUAAAGCACUUUUGUCCGGAAAGAAAUCCUUGGCUCUAAUACAGUCGGGGGAUGACGGUACCGGAAGAAUAAGCACCGGCUAACUACGUGCCAGCAGCCGCGGUAAUACGUAGGGUGCAAGCGUUAAUCGGAAUUACUGGGCGUAAGCGUGCGCAGGCGGUUUGCUAAGACCGAUGUGAAAUCCCCGGGCUCAACCUGGGAACUGCAUUGGUGACUGGCAGGCUAGAGUAUGGCAGAGGGGGGUAGAAUUCCACGUGUAGCAGUGAAAUGCGUAGAGAUGUGGAGGAAUACCGAUGGCGAAGGCAGCCCCCUGGGCCAAUACUGACGCUCAUGCACGAAAGCGUGGGGGAGCAAACAGGAUUAGAUACCCCUGGGUAGUCCACGCCCUAAACGAUGUCAACUAGUUGUUGGGGGAUUCAUUUCCUUAGUAACGUAGCUAACGCGUGAAGUUGACCGCCUGGGGGAGUACGGUCGCAAGAUUAAAACUUAAAUGAAUUG